rnacentral:rRNA from 1 species
CCUACGGGGGGCAGCAGUGGGGAAUAUUGGACAAUGGGGGCAACCCUGAUCCAGCCAUGCCGCGUGUGUGAAGAAGGCCCUCGGGUUGUAAAGCACUUUCAGUGGGGAAGAACGCCUGGUGGUUAAUACCCAUCAGGAAAGACAUCACUCACAGAAGAAGCACCGGCUAACUCCGUGCCAGCAGCCGCGGUAAUACGGAGGGUGCGAGCGUUAAUCGGAAUUACUGGGCGUAAAGCGCGCGUAGGUGGCUUGAUAAGCCGGUUGUGAAAGCCCCGGGCUCAACCUGGGAACGGCAUCCGGAACUGUCAAGCUAGAGUGCAGGAGAGGAGAGUAGAAUUCCCAGUGUAGCGGUGAAAUGCGUAGAGAUCGGGAGGAAUACCAGUGGCGAAGGCGGCCUUCUGGACUGACACUGACGCUGAGGUGCGAAAGCGUGGGUAGCAAACAGGAUUAGAUACCCUGGUAGUC